UGCUGUAAUAUUUGUAAGUCGCUCUGGAUAAGAGCGUCUGCUAAAUGACGUAAA
rfam:Salmo salar isolate Sally breed double haploid chromosome ssa15, whole genome shotgun sequence.